rnacentral:rRNA from 1 species
CCUACGGGGAGCUGCAGUGGGGGAUAUUGCACAAUGGGGGGAACCCUGAUGCAGCGACGCCGCGUGGGUGAAGGAGCGUUUCGGCGCGUAACGCCCUAUCGGCAGGGGAGAAAAGGACGGUACCUGACCAAGAAGCCCCGGCAAACUACGUGCAAGCAGCCGCGGUAAUACGUAGGGGGCAAGCGGUAACCGGAUUUACGGGUAGGAAAGGGGGCGCAGACGGCAAUGCAAGGCAGGAGUGAAAGCCCGGGGCGCAACCCCGGGACUGUUCUUGGAAAUGCAGGGCUGGAGUACAGGAGGGGCAGGCGGAAUUCCUAGUGUAGCGGUGAAAUGCGUAGAUAUUAGGAGGAACACCGGUGGCGAAGGCGGCCUGCUGGACUGUGACUGACGUUGAGGCCCGAAGGCGUGGGGAGCAAACAGGAUUAGAUACCCGGGUAGU